UUGCUUGCAAGUGAUCUGCAGACUGAGAAGUUAUUGGCUAUUAGGUUCAACUGCCAAGAGGAGAGACCCACCUCCACUAGCCAGUAUCUGGAUUAGCAGUGGCUGGAGGGAGACAGUGGCCACUGGGGAGAGAGGUGUCAGAUUCCACUGCUGUCUCAUGCCUACAUCACCGAGCAGCACUCAGAAGGCUACAGAUGCCAUAGGUGAGUCCAAUAAAUUUGGAUCCAAUCCAGUUUUUGCUUGCUGGUUUGCUUUAGGGUCAGCAGGCAUUAAAAGUGAGGAGUAUCUUGGGAUGAGACACAGUUAGCAAACACUAAACACA
rnacentral:lncRNA from 1 species